CGGGUGAUAAUAAGAGUAUUAAUUUAAUGCAUUUCACUAAUAGUCCCUCCUUUUUAAUUUUCGUGCAUUUGUUUUGCAUCAAUUUGUUUAGACAUAUGUUAGAAUUUAGUUUUUACUCUAUAUGUGUUGUUUAAUGAAAAUAGUUUUAUAUUUGUUUUGCGCGCAACGUUACUUCCGGUUGCCGCGCUACGUCACUUCCGGUUGCCGCGCAACGUCACUUCCGGUUGCCGCGCUGGGUUCUCAGACCGCAUUGAGCGCGCUGAGGAGAGGUGGGGAAAUUUACAAACGAAAUCAUAUCAACUUACUGUGCUGUUUUCUGAUUCAUCCAGGUAUUGUUUUAUGUACAUUUAUGCUUCUUUGUGUUUACAUUUGUUUCGCAAUUACAUUAAUUUCUAAUAUAAAGUUAGAUAGGGGAAGAUUAAUUAAUAUCACAAUGUAUGGAAAUGUAAUCAUUUGUUAUUUUUAUUUAUUUACUUUUUGUACUUUUGUGAUCUGUUUACCCAGUUUUAAUUGGGUAUGAUGUUAUUGUUAUGUUUGCUCAGACCGCAUUGAGCGCGCUGAGGAGAGGUGGGGAAAUUUACAAACGAAAUCAUAUCAACUUACUGUGCUGUUUUCUGAUUCAUCCAGUUUGCUCUGAUCUGACGCUUGAGUGACAAUAAACCCACCAUCAGCAGUACCAGUGGCCUGUCUCAUAAUUGUACACAACGCAGAGAGUGCGAACACCGGUUACAGUGGUGCCGUGACCCGGAUGAAGAUCAGCUCUUCUGGAAUCUUCAUCCAAAGAUCAAUGUCGUUUGGUCGCCGGUGGAUGCUGCACUUCAAUCAAGGUUUUGAUGAACUGUGAUAGAGAGCAUUGCACUUUCAUCAAACUGGACACUUCACUAUAUCCUUUCUUUAUUUCUAUUUGAAUUUAAUAUACCUGUUUUCCUGUUUAACAUAUAUAUUUUUUGGUAGUUGUUCUCCGAAGCUGGUUUAUCUAUUCUAAAAUUUUAUUCAAUGUUUGAUCAUUUACAUGCCAAUAAGUAGUAAUGGCAUAUGGUUUCAAAGCAGACAGUUUUAAGGGUGAGGAGAACAUGUCAGAUUUAACUUUCGGAAGGGGAAGACUUUUUGCUAAUUCAUCUACGCCUGUUGCAGGGAGGGGUAGUGUGGGACGAACUUCUGAAUUUUGUUCUACCCGGGUAACUGAACAAACACCUAGUCAGUUAAGGAGUAACCCAUUUUUGGCUAGCCCAGAUUUAAAUGAUACUGCAUGGCAAAAUCUCAUAACACACAUUGCUCAAGAAGUAGGACAGACUUUGAUUUCUGUUCAAGGUGGGGGAAGAUAUGGGGAAGGAGAAACUAAUAAUGCACAGACACAGAGUCCAGUUGCUGGUCAGUCAUUCACAGAAACACCCUCACUUAAUUUGACAGGAGUCAAAUUAGUCAUGCAAUCUGAAGUAAGAGAGCCUCCUGUGUUCCGAGGUGAUGGAACAGAUAAGUUCACUGUGCAUGAGUGGGAGGAUUUACUGGACACAUACCUUCGUAAAAGAGGCAUACCAGCUUCCGAGCAUUAUCAUGAAAUCCUUUCCAGGCUGCUGGGUAAGGCCAAAGACAUUGUAAAAAUAACCCUACGCAGCAACACAUCUCUAAAACCUUCUGAGAACCCCAGAGUGAUAUUCGAUAUCCUAAAGCAACAUUUCAGUGAAGUCAGAUUCUCCUCUAUGCCUUUAGCAGAUUUCUACAGCACAGUUUCCGUUAUUGGAGAGAACCCAGUUGAGUAUUGGGUCCGGUUGAAUAAGGCUGUGGAUGCUGCUGAAGAGGCUUUGAAAAGACUUGGGCGACAGAUGGAUAAUCCUUGUCAGGAGGCAGCCAUGAUGUUUGUCAAAUACUGUCCGGACCCCAGCUUGUCAGCCGUUUUCCGUUUGAAAGCAGCAGACAAGUGGACAGCGAGUGAGGUACAAGAGCAUCUAGACAGAUAUCAGGUUGAGCAAAAAGAACAGUUGGCAAUUAAAUCUAAGCGCAAUGUUAUGAGGAAUGUUGCAGUUCACCGACAGUCACUCGUGGAGAAUGAGAUGAUGGCUAGUGGCUCCCCAGUCGUGGCAUCUGAACAUUCUAACUUGAGUAUUUCAUCUUCUACACAGAAUGAUGAUAACUGUAUGAAAACACUCAUCACCUUACUUGACCGUGCGCUCUCCCAGAAUUCUCAAGCUGAAAUGAGUAGUCCUCGACAGAGCCAACCGCCUACGAGAGCUUGUAAGGUGUGUCGUUCAUAUGAACAUUCAACUCUCUCACACUGCCGACGUCAACGACUCUGUCUUGCUUGCUUCCAACCUGGGCACAUAAAAAGAAAUUGCGUAAAUAGUCAGCAUGGCUCUGGCAGCCAGAUAACACAGCAAUCGCAAGGUUCACCGACUUUAAAAUAGUCGACCCACACCUGGAGAGGGGACGUGUGGGUAGGGUAGGACAAACCCUCGAAGAUGUAGAUCUUAAACAAGUUUAUGAGAAGGCAUGUGCGCAGGCUCCGGCUGAAGUCAAAGUGAUCGCACAGAAUAUGCAAACUUUAGAAGUGUUUGAUGAAUUGUUUUAUGCACCUGUCUAUGUGAAUGAUAGAUUCCAGAUAAAAGGAAUGUUGGAUUCAGGAUCUAUGGCAUGCACUUUUAGUGAAGCGGUAGAAAGUCGGAUGCUCUGUGAAGAUGUGUUGCCAAAACCCUCACCUUUGUCCCAGGAAAUAAUGCUAAUUGGAUGCGGAGGUAAAAUAACCAAACCAAAAUGCAUGUAUGAAGUCGAGCUAAAGGUGUAUGGUGAAAGAUGCUUGGUGCCUGUUCUAGUUGUACCAGGGCAACGAGACGAUUUGAUAAUUGGUACCAACGUUAUUAAGUUUCUCAUGCACCAAAUGAAGAUAAGUGAUGAUUACUGGAGGAUUUUGUCUGACAGUGUCUCAGGGCCACCUACGUCAUGCGAACAAUUCCUUGAUGUUAUGGCAAAUACUUGCCGCUGGAGAGGCGGUAUUCCGCCACACAAGGUUGGGACUGUCAAGCUUCGCCAGUCAGUUACUCUAAUGGCCAAACAAGAACACCUUGUCUGGGGAAAGUUACCAAGAGACACUGCUAUCUCGCCUGGAAGCACUGUAAUAGUGGAAGCCACUUCUUCUAGAACCAUGCCACGAGACAUUAUCAUAGGUCGUGUUGUCACACCCUUGUGGGGAGAUCAUUGGGUUCCCCUGAAGGUCACUAACCUGUCAGAUAAGCCAAUCACCCUCAAAAGGAAUUGCAAGUUGGCUGAUGUGUAUCCGUGCCUUGCCGUGGAAGAUUUUGAGCUGUUUCAAGGUUUCAGUGGAGUCCAGUUGCCCACACCUGACAAAGAUCCACAACCUGUUACUGCAGGGGACCUGAAAAAGAGACUGGAGACUGUUAGUCUCAGUGAUGUUGACAUAGACUCUUGUUCUGCCAGUGAUACGGCAAAAGAAAAGCUAGUCCAAUUGCUAGAGACUUACCAUGAUGUAUUCUCCAAACACGCCUUAGAUUGUGGGGAGGUCAGAGGCUUUGUUCACCGCAUCCACUUAACUGACGAUCGCCCAUUUCGACUUCCAUACAGACGAGUACCACCCGCUCACUACCAAAAAUUACGUCAAGUUCUCUCAGAGAUGGAAGAGCAAGGAAUCAUACGUAAAUCAGUAAGUGAAUAUGCCUCACCUUUGGUCUUAGUAUGGAAGAGAGAUGGCAGCUUAAGGAUCUGUACGGAUUUCAGAUGGCUAAAUGCUAGGACUAUUAAGGAUGCGCACCCACUCCCGCACCAAUCAGACUGUCUUGUUGCCCUCGGUGGUAAUACCCUCUUUAGCACGAUGGAUUUAACAUCGGGCUUUUAUAACAUCCCAAUGGCUGAAGAGGAUAAAAAGUACACCGCAUUUGCAACACCUGUAGGUCUUCAUGAGUACAACAGGAUGCCUCAAGGGUUGUGUAACAGCCCAGCAUCUUUCAUGCGUAUGAUGUUAAGUAUCUUUGGGGACCUGAAUUUUAGUAGUUUGCUGUGCUACUUAGAUGACUUGCUGGUGUUUGCACCCGACGAGACCACAGCCUUGGAGCGGUUAGAGAUGGUAUUCCAACGAUUGAGAAGCUACAACCUUAAAUUAAGUCCGAAAAAGUGCCAUCUGAUGCAAGCGUCUGUUAAAUUCUUAGGCCACAUCGUUGAUGGAAAUGGUGUUUCCGUUGAUCCUUCGAAGGUUGAAGUCAUAGCCAAGCUCUCAAAAACUGACCUCAUGGAAGAGGACGGGUGUACUCCGUCUGUACGUCGAAUAAAGUCUGUCUUGGGAAUGAUCCUCUAUUACCAACAUUUUAUUCCAAAUUGCUCUUCAGUUGCCAGACCAUUGUUCUCCCUAACAGCUGGGCAGAAAAGAAGAACAAAAUUAAAAACUGAGGCUAAGGCAGGCACAUAUCGAAAACUGAAGCCAGUUGAUUGGACCCCAGAAUGUGAUGAUGCUCUCUCUAAGUUGAAAGAGAGUUUGUUGCAGAGCGUGGUUUUAGCGCAUCCCAAUUUCUCACUUCCCCUAAUCCUGUCAAUUGAUGCUUCUUUGGAAGGACUUGGAGCUGUGCUGUCACAGAUACCAGCUGGUGAAGAAAAAGCACGUCCCAUUGCAUUCGCAAGCAAGUCCUUAACCAACUCUCAAAGGAGAUAUCCAGUGCACAAGCUCGAGUUUUUAGCCCUAAAGUGGAGUGUGUGUGAAAAAUUCAGUCACUGGUUAAAGGGCCACACAUUCACAGUGUGGACCGACAAUAACCCCCUCACUUAUAUAUUAACAAAGGCUAAACUCGAUGCUUGCGAACAGCGCUGGGUAUCUAAGCUUGCUGCUUAUACUUUUGAUCUCAAGCAUAUUGCUGGAAGUAAAAAUACUGUAGCUGACGCUUUAAGCCGGGAUCCGUUUGCGCGAACCAUUGCUCGUAGGCUCAUAACCGAGCAAUAUGGGAGUCUGCUUUCUGAGGCUGAAACUGUCGACAAAGAUGGAGUUCAGGACACCUUCCGUUUGCAAGCAAACAAUCUAUAUGUGUCAACUCUGACAAGCCCAGUUUCCUGUGAUCAAGUGACAGUUAAAACUCUUUUGAACCUAUCGGAGCAGUGGAAAGCUGUAACUGAGCUAAGGGCUAUGCAAGCAAUCCAAUAUAUCCAAGAUGCAACGACUACUGGAUUUGAUCCAGUUUCAGCGAUCCCUAUCGAAGAGAUUCGUCGGGGUCAAGAAGCAGAUCCCUCGAUUUCUAAGAUAAUGCCCUAUCUGGAGAAGCAAAGAAGGCCAUCAAGACGAGAGGUGGUUGCAAUGGAUGCUGUGACUCAAAUUCUUCUUAGGCAACUAGAUCGUUUGAAGGUUCAAGAUGGAGUAGUUUACCGUGUUUGCAAGGACCCAUCAAGCACACACAAGAGGUUCCAACUUGUAAUGCCUAGUAGCCUUAAGGCUAGAGCCUUAACUGGUGUGCAUGAUCUUGCUGGACACCAGGGAAGGUCAAGAACUCUUCAACUAGCUCGACAACGCUUUUUCUGGCCUCGGAUGGAGCGUGACAUAAGAGAGUAUGUUAAAUGUUGUCAGAGGUGCAUAUUGGCCAAAACACCAGAGCCAUCUGCUCGAGCCCCACUUGAGAACAUCAGGACUUCAGCCCCUAUGGAGUUAGUGUGUUUGGAUUUUUGGAGUGCGGAGGACAGCAAGCAACGCUCUGUGGAUGUAUUAGUCGUGACGGAUCACUUUACAAAGUUGGCCCAUGCUUUCCCAUGUGUAAACCAGAAAGCAAAACAAAUUGCAAAAAAACUGUGGGAUCAUGUCUUCUGUAUUUAUGGUUUUCCAUCUCGCAUUCAUACAGAUCAAGGGACCAACUUUGAAAGUACCCUCAUCGCAGAGUUGCUUAAGCUGGCAGGUGUUGAGAAGUCGCACACUACGGCAUACCACCCCAUGGGGAACGGAGGAACAGAGCGAUUCAAUCGGACCUUGGGCAAUAUGCUUCGCUCCUUGCCUCUUAAGGAAAAACAGAAGUGGCCCGAACAUAUACAGACUUUGACAUUUGCGUAUAACUCCACCGUGCAUGAGACCACGGGUUAUGCGCCAUUCCAGUUAAUGUUUGGUCGCAUUCCCAAGCUGCCAGUUGAUGUUGUAUUUGCGCAAGCAUUACAUGAUCCUGUGAUUGUUGAUUAUGGCAGUUACGCAAAAACACUUAUGUCUUACCUUCAUGAAGCUGCAUGCAUUGCGCAGAAACACACAGAGAAGGAGCAGAAAAAGCAGGCUAAGAAUUACAAUCGGAAGGUCAAGGGCAUGUGUCUGAACGUUGGAGAUAGGGUGCUUCUUGCAAACAAGAGUGAACGAGGAAAGAAAAAACUUGCAGAUAAGUGGGAUCCAACUGUUUAUACUGUAAGAGACAGAAAUCUUCAAACAAACAUAUACAAGCUGGUUGACAACAAUGGAAAAUGCAAAGUGGUGCAUCGCAACCUGAUACUGGAUAUUAGCUUCUUACCAAUUGAACAAUCUCAAGAUGAAGAAGAUACUCAGCCUACUGCUGAGAAUGAGGAAACAGAGUCUCAUGCACCAGAGUUAUCCAGUUUGGAAGAGGAAGAGAACUUUGAUGGAACGGAAGGAUGGAUACUUGAUGGACAGGAUGAGAGUGAAAGACAAAAGCCUGAAGAAGAUGAUGACAUAGGAUCCAGUUGUUCUAAUCUAAGUGAAGGCAGUUUCUGUGAACAAGACCUUAAUGCAACUGAAGUCAAUGAGGGUAGUCCUGAUCCGGUGUCCGAUUUAGAAACUGCGUCCUUCGCCAAAAACUCUGAACCACGACCACAUACAUUAAAUGAUCCAGAUGAUAACACCAUAUCUAACGCACCAACACAUUGUCCCACUGACACACAAGGUGUUAAAACCCGUGCAGGUAGAAUGGUAAAAAAAGUUAGCCGCUUGAUAGAAUCUAUGGCGCAAAGGCCAUUUUAUGUUCAGAGGGUUGGCUCACUUUUAACAAGGAGAUCAGGAUCAGUUCUUUCCUUAUUUUAGAUCAGUUUUGUGAUGAUGCAAAAAUAACAAUUAAGUAUGUGCGCCGUAAGAAUUUCAGUUAAAAUCUUACCAGAUUAUUGUAUGUUGUACAAGGCAGCAUAUUGUUCUAAGAAUGUCUAGGACUUGAUCAACCUUGGGCUUUUCUUAACCCGUUAAGUGGGUAACUUGCAAUGUUGAACUGCGAAUAAGAUUUGCUAAAAAUCUGGUUAUGAUAGAUCGAUGUCAUCUCGGUCAGGAUAUUAGUGAAAUUCAGGAGGGGUGAAUGUGACGGGUGAUAAUAAGAGUAUUAAUUUAAUGCAUUUCACUAAUAGUCCCUCCUUUUUAAUUUUCGUGCAUUUGUUUUGCAUCAAUUUGUUUAGACAUAUGUUAGAAUUUAGUUUUUACUCUAUAUGUGUUGUUUAAUGAAAAUAGUUUUAUAUUUGUUUUGCGCGCAACGUUACUUCCGGUUGCCGCGCUACGUCACUUCCGGUUGCCGCGCAACGUCACUUCCGGUUGCCGCGCUGGGUUCUCAGACCGCAUUGAGCGCGCUGAGGAGAGGUGGGGAAAUUUACAAACGAAAUCAUAUCAACUUACUGUGCUGUUUUCUGAUUCAUCCAGGUAUUGUUUUAUGUACAUUUAUGCUUCUUUGUGUUUACAUUUGUUUCGCAAUUACAUUAAUUUCUAAUAUAAAGUUAGAUAGGGGAAGAUUAAUUAAUAUCACAAUGUAUGGAAAUGUAAUCAUUUGUUAUUUUUAUUUAUUUACUUUUUGUACUUUUGUGAUCUGUUUACCCAGUUUUAAUUGGGUAUGAUGUUAUUGUUAUGUUUGCUCAGACCGCAUUGAGCGCGCUGAGGAGAGGUGGGGAAAUUUACAAACGAAAUCAUAUCAACUUACUGUGCUGUUUUCUGAUUCAUCCAGUUUGCUCUGAUCUGACGCUUGAGUGACAAUAAACCCACCAUCAGCAGUA